ACAAACGAAGGCAAUUACUUAUAUCUCAACUUAGAGUCAAUCAAGUGGAAAGAAGAAAUAUAUGUUGGAAGUGAUAUCGUACUUGGUUUACUACUAGCAUGUUUUGAAUUCUUGUACAUACUAGUAAAAGUAUCUCCACAGAAGUUUAAAGUGCAGUUCAAAAGAAUUUGUUGGCAAAACGAUCGAGUGAGAGUUAACUGAAAAAGUGCUAUUUAUUUUGUUACUGUACAGAACUUACAAUGAAACUGCACUGCGUGCUCCAGGCGUGGAAGAAACAUUUUGGAAGUGGAAGCUAAGAAUGUCAAGUGCCUUGUUUUAUGCAUAAUUAGCAGAGAAAUGCUUUAAUGAUUCCUUCUUUUUUUCUUUCUCUUUUACUUAGGUCUGAUUGAUGUGGGUUUUGUAUUUUUAACUGUUUUUUAAACAAAAAUUGCUUGGUUUUUAUUUCUAAAAAUAUUUCCCCAUUUCACAUUUUCAAAUCUUUAUGAGUUAAGAGGUACACAAAAAGGUAAUUGAUUUUUGACUGAUGUUCCAAUUGUUCCAGAAUAAUAGAAUUACAGUGUAUCUCAGAUUUUCUUUUUAUUGAUGCCUUGAAAUGAGAUACAGCGUGCCAUCACUUUUAAGUACAUGAAUGUGAGUUCCUCUCCAUUUUCUGGGGUUGUAAGGUUUAGUGAACUUUAUAAAGUAAUUGUCUAGACAGUAGCUAGUGUAGACAAACAGGAGAACCCAACCUCCCAAGUGAAGUGUAGACAAUCGUAAACAUGAGCAGUUAACAUCCCAAGUUUAUAGUCAUUCUUUAAAAUCUUUGCACUGAACAUGGUUCCCUCUCAGGGUACAAGAAACAUGUAUCUACAUCUUCUUUCAAGAAGUACAAAAUGUAUUAUGAUGUUAUUUUAAGUGUAAAGGUGCAAAAGAACAUUAGAAGUAGUAAGGAGGUUUGUUUUUCCUCACUAUAUACAUCAUAGAUUUGUUCAUUAGAUACAGUUUCAAUGUUUUUCUGUGUACAAAUGUAUGAAAAUGCAGUAUUCAGAUCAUUUAUCUAUGCCUACACCAUUAUUAUCUUUUAAAUAUUAUAAAGUUGGGGAUCAAGGUCACAUUUGAUGUAAUCUAUCAUUUACACUGUACAUUAUUUGUACCGUAACCAUUUUUUCUUGUUCUGUGAUAGAGUCGACAGGAAUCUGCUUUAACUUUUGGUCUACAGCAUUGUACAAAAGGUAGGUCUGUCUUGGUACAGCCUUGGCCAAAUCAUCUUAGUUUUAAGUUUAAUGUGAUGACAGUCAUUUUUACCCCACCCUGUACCUGAUGUUUGUUAAUGUGUGACAACUGUAAAUUAUGUAACAUAGACAUGUAGUCCACAGUUAAUGUGAUGAGAAAGGUUGUGUAUGAUGAAGGCAGUGCCAUAGCACGCAAUGACGCCAGUAAAGAAUGCUAAAACAUCAG
rnacentral:sRNA from 1 species